CUUACGGGAGUCACCCCCCCCACCACAUUUCUACACCUUUAGUGACACCCAUGGAGAAAACCUCCAUUUUUUCAUACACACACACUCAGCGACGCUGUCAUCUCCCUCCGGCACUGCCCCGGCAAUUCUUCUUUCUUCUUUCUUCUUCUCUCUCUGGCUCAAGUCCGCUUCGCUGCUCAAACACACGCCGGUUUUUCUAACAGCUCUAGGCUAGACUUAUCUCUCCUGUAACGUAACACGGGCAAGGAGGAGCAGGAAUCUAGGAUUUCGAUGUCAAGACUCUUUGUGCUCGAGAUUAGGUGAUCGAAUUAGCUCUUUUUCUUCACAGUUGCUCAAGUCAGAUCUCUAGUCAACGCUUUUCCAUUGAUAUUUUUAGUGCUAAUAAAUAGUGCAUCAUCCAUUUCCUGGAAAACCCUGUCGGGUGUUUUGCAGCCAAGUUUCGGGCUCCAGAGAGAAGACCCGGUCGGGUGUUUCUCCACUUACAGAUCACUCGGCCGGGUGUUUUGGAUAAUUGUCCACUUAAUCCUGAUUUUCACUCCGAGUAUAAAAGGGUUCUCACUCAUUUUCGAACCCUAACUUUCCCCCACUGCAAAAUCAAGAUAGAAAUCGAGAGAUUCAAGAGGAUUGAAGGCAAGGAGGCUUCCAUCUUCAAGAGAUUGAAUAAGAAGACUCUCCGCAACAUCAAUUCCACCUUAGGGAGUUCUAAUUUCCAUUUUCCAUCCAUAUUUUCCUUUGUUUCUUUUGUAUUUUCUUUUGUGUUGACUACUAUCAUGAGUAGCUAGACUUCUUAAGGGAUUUGGUGAAGUUUGUAUGGAAUCCAUGAGUUAAACCUUGAUUUGUGCUUA